rnacentral:rRNA from 1 species
AGCGCUCACUGGGCGUAAAGCGUGCGCAGGCGGUUUUGUAAGACAGAGGUGAAAUCCCCGGGCUCAACCUGGGAACUGCCUUUGUGACUGCAAGGCUGGAGUGCGGCAGAGGGGGAUGGAAUUCCGCGUGUAGCAGUGAAAUGCGUAGAUAUGCGGAGGAACACCGAUGGCGAAGGCAAUCCCCUGGGCCUGCACUGACGCUCAUGCACGAAAGCGUGGGGAGCAAACA